UUCAAAAGUUACAGUAAUUUAAUAACCUCAUUCGAAAUCACCAUGACUGAAGAUCAAAAUCACAAUAUUGUUUUAAAUUUAUUAUGUAUCAUGACUCAAAAAACUCUCUAGAAUAAAUUCACCUUUGACACUAACUAAUGAAGACAAUUUGCUCUAAUUCAAUUGUAAGAGAAAAUAUUUCAAGUAAAGCUUACAAGAGGAUGAUUUUGAUUUUUUGGCUAGAAGACUUCAGUUGUAGACAAGAACCACCCUCCCCCCAAAAAAAUUUGUUAUAACAUACUUAAGAUGGUAAGAGAAGAGGCUCCCUUGUUUGGAAAGAUUCAUAUUAGAAUCUUAUCAAUUUUUCUAUAGAGUGUUAUCAUUAGUGUUCUCUGGGGUUGGUAACUGGUUAUUGACGGUAGGGAUUUAAGAAUAUGGUUUCAUUUUGCUCUCAUCAUGAUCUGUGGCAUAUUUUGUCGUACCUCGCUUCCCUAUGGCUGGACAGCAUCUCAGAAAGACCUCAUAGAUUUCCAAUCACUUUCACUUGUAAGAACAGUCUCAUUUGUAGAAACUGAGGUGCAUUCAUUUAUUAAAGGUCUAGUGAUAUCAUAUCAAAAGUUCAAUUUCAGCCAAUUCAAAGUUUCUCUCCUCCUGCCCAUCUUCUGUGACCUGCAGUGGCCUUUCCUUUUGCUCACUGCUCCCCCCAUCACCUGGCUGCUUGUAGCUCCUCUAGGGUCAGCACAAGGAGAGAGACAUCAAUGGAAUGGAGGCUGACUAUCUUUUUACAUCAUCAGUUUGUGCUGUUGGCAAUUCUCUCUUGACUAUCAAACUCAGCUGUGUGAAGCAAGUGGUCACAUGUUGGAACUUUCCUGGGAAGCUUUCAUUUGUAGGUUCUUCAGGGCCCCAUGGAACUGCCCCGGGCUAGUUCCCUAUUGUGGCUGAACAACCAUUUGACUGGUCUUUUAUGACCUACCUUCCCACUCCACUUCAUGCACAAGCACACACACACUCAUGUGCAUGCACACAUACACACACACACAAAAUCUCCUACUUCAGCAUGCACAUCACAGUCUGGGUCCACUGCCUGGGUCAACUUACCCCAAAAGUUCUAUCUCCCAGGCAAAGAUAGCAAUAACUGCUCAAACUCUCUACCUUUCCAGUGUUGCUUGACUCAAGGAGAACAUACACAUUUUUCUGCAUCAAAGGGCAGAAGCUGAGCUUGCCGCUACUGACACCUGCCUCUAUAUUUACAAACCCCCAUGUCUUCACUGUGCUCUACUCUGACUGGCUGGAGGCAGCUCAGCAGGCAGCCCCCUGGGGAGUGGAGUUCUUGUUCCAGUCUCCAUAUGAGAGAAACUCCCCUUAGCACUCCACUUCUUGCUCCAUGGCAUUGGGAGGGAAAUGUCCCAGCCCUCUUUAUGAAGCCCAGGGCUCCUUAUGGAAACCACUGUCUCCAAUCUCCUUAUGAGUCACUAGUCAUCUGUAAUGUAGGCUAGAGCUGGGAUAGGACUGGUAGUCACUAGACUGGUUUUGACAUCUUUAUUAAACACUCCAUAGCCAUGUCUAGCACUCCAUUUUAGAACAUUAGAUAAUUAUCACUCAUUUUCAACUUUGGAGUAUUAAUUCAUUCUGAUAAUUAAAAAUGUCCCAUUCAGCAUCCUCACUUCAAAUUAUGUUGCUGGAAAAUUAGCAACUCAGUGCUGAAAACAUCUUACCAAAGUCAAUGAGCCAGAAGUUCACCUUGACUAAAACACCAAGUUUACAGGGAUUCUGCUCUAAUAGUGAUGACCACUAUAACCAUAUAAUAGAGCACAAUAAUCAUACUUUAUACAUGUAAAGGCCUACAUAAAACAUGCCUUUGCUAUAAUACUGUUUUCUGAUUAAAAUAUACAGCUACGCAAAUAUUUAAAUUAAAUAUUCUUAAACUUUUAUUUGAUUGAAAACAAAUGGAGCAGAUGCUCUGGGAAAGCUCCUUGCUAGAAGCAAAGUACUUUGGGGGAUUUAUGACUUUGUUGAAGCAGUUUUAAUUAGCUAUUUCAAAUUCUUGUUCAUUAAGUGUUUUUCUUUAACCUUCAAUGACCUGAUUUCAGAAGACUAACAAUGAAAAUAUUGUACACUUCUGCUGUUGUAUAAUGUUGUAUGCUAUGCUGGCAUUUCCCAAUAUCUUCUCUCAAUUAGUCCUCUCAGGGAUAAAACAUAAUGUUGGGCCUAUAAUAAGGAUGUUUUAAUAUAGGAGUCACUUACUCAGAUGCCUAAGUUACCAAGCAGGUAAUAUAAAGUAGAAAGUAAUAGUAGAGAAGAGUGGGGACUGUGACAAACUUGAAAUCUUAUGUUACAUAAAAAGAGUAGCUUCUAGGGGCACCUGGGUGGCUCGGUUGGUUGAGCGUCCAACUCGAUUUUAGCUCAGGUCAUCUCACAGUCAUGAGAUCAAGCUCCACAUUGGGCUCCAUGCUGAGCAUGGAGUCAGCUUGAGAUUCUCUCUCUCCCUCUGCCCCACCCACUGCUCUAUAAAUAAAUAAAUAAAUAAAUAAAUAAAUAAAUAAAUAAAUAAAUAAAUAAAUAUCUUUAUUAAAAGAAAUAGCUGCUAUUCAGGGCCAACUAACUUUGGUGUGCAGUUCAGAUGUUAACUGAUUUUUUUUUAAAGAAAAUUUAAAAUUUCAGGUGUUGUGAAAUCUACUGAUAUUGUAUUGAAUCAAAUUGAUACUAAAUCAAAAUUUUUAAACAUCAAGUUGAAACAAAACAUAAACCCCACAAAUGCUGAUAUCUGCAGGCUGCUAGUUUGUGACCUCCCUUUGUAGUAGAUAUUGUUGGUUCCAAAAUGGAGGAUCUUCUCUAUGCAGACCCUUGAGAGUAGUCUCCUUCAGUUAAGGUAUUUGGAAGAGGAAUAUUUUUCCUAAGUUCCAGUUUGUUGUUGAUCUUGUGGACACUGGUAUGAAAGAAAAUGACCAAACUUCCCCUUUCUCUUUGACUGCCAGAGAGCACAGAAGCAAAUCUAUGGCCCAAUCCUAGCAAGCAUAUAGAUCUGGACAGAAGGUACAACCCCCUAACCAUUUUUGUCCACUUUUAUUUCUCAUCUACUUUUAACUUAUGUCAUCUUGCUGCAUUUCAUACAAAUGUAUAGGUCCAUUUUAUUUCAUUUUUUUAAAGAUUUUAUUUAUUUAUUCAUGAGAGACACAGAGAGAGAGGUAGAGAUAUAGGUCCAUUUUAAAUCCUCUUUGGAACAAAGCAGGUUACAAAUGAUCUUUACAACAUUGAAACAGACAUUCAAUGAAAUAGACAUUAUUUCUGUGAAAUAGACAUUUCUGAUCCCAUAUGACAACUGAGUAAACUGAGCCUGCAUGAGGCUAACUGACUUGAUCAUUGACACUUGAAUCAGGAAAUGUGAAGACCCAACCCAUCUGUUCUGGCUCCAUGUCAAAUGCUCAACUGACUAUUCAAAACAACACAGUUCCAUAGCAGGAGUCUCAAACUCAGAUGUAACCCACCCCUGGAUACUAUAGGAGUUGGAGAAGGGCUUGCCCAGAGCUAUUGCAUUGUGAAGGUGAACAGUUCCCUAGAACACAACAUGAUCACGAUACAAAUGGUGCCCUCUAAAGUCGUACAUUAUAUGCAGCAUGCCCCUUUGGGAGGCAU
rnacentral:lncRNA from 1 species